rnacentral:ncRNA from 1 species
AAUCUUCAGGGCGGGGUGAGAUUCCCCACCGGCGGUAAAGCCCGCGAGCCUUUUUGGCUGAUUCGGUGAAACUCCGAAGCCGACGGUUAAGUCAUUG